CUAACUCCAAUCCCACACAUGGGACAUGGCAACAAAGCAAUGGCAUCACGCACAUACACUCCCUUUUGUUUUCUUUGCUAUGGGCUCUCUGUAAAAUUGUUUGUUCUAUCCCUUCCACAUCCUCAAAAAAUCAAGUACUUCAAGAAAACUCUUGAUUCUUGAGAGUGUUAAAUUUCCUAUUUAUGUCUUCUUCCUCAAACCCUUCUCCUUUUUAGUACUGUCCCCAGAACAAGUCCAUCAUAUACCAUAUGGAAACCAAUUCUAGUUUCUUC
rnacentral:lncRNA from 1 species